UGGGGAAUAUUGCACAAUGGGCGGAAGCCUGAUGCAGCGACGCCGCGUGAGGGAUGACGGCCUUCGGGUUGUAAACCUCUUUCAGCAGGGAAGAAGCUUUUAUCGGUGACGGUACCUGCAGAAGAAGCACCGGCUAACUACGUGCCAGCAGCCGCGGUAAUACGUAGGGUGCGAGCGUUGUCCGGAAUUAUUGGGCGUAAAGAGCUCGUAGGCGGCGUGUCACGUCGGAUGUGAAAGCCCGGGGCUUAACCCCGGGUCUGCAUUCGAUACGGGCUCGCUAGAGUUCGGUAGGGGAGAUCGGAAUUCCUGGUGUAGCGGUGAAAUGCGCAGAUAUCAGGAGGAACACCGGUGGCGAAGGCGGAUCUCUGGGCCGAUACUGACGCUGAGGAGCGAAAGCGUGGGGAGCGAACAGG
rnacentral:rRNA from 1 species